rnacentral:pre_miRNA from 1 species
AUAAUACUCCCUCCGUCCAGAAUUACUUGUCAUCAAAAUGGAUGUGUCUAGAACUAAAAUACUUCUAGAUACAUCCAUUUCAAUGACAAGUAUUUUCGGACGGAGGGAGUAGUAG